AGGACGAACGCUGGCGGCGUGCCUAAUACAUGCAAGUCGAACGGUCUUUCUAUGGGAGCUUGCUUCCACUGAGAAGAUAGUGGCGAACGGGUGAGUAACACGUGGGUAACCUGCCCAUAAGAGGGGGGAUAACAUCCGGAAACGGGUGCUAAUACCGCAUAGUUUUCUUGAUCGCAUGAUCGGGAAAGGAAAGACGGCCUUUGUGCUGUCGCUUAUGGAUGGACCCGCGGCGUAUCAGUUAGUUGGUGAGGUAACGGCUCACCAAGACGAUGAUACGUAGCCGACCUGAGAGGGUGAUCGGCCACAUUGGGACUGAGACACGGCCCAAACUCCUACGGGAGGCAGCAGUAGGGAAUCUUCCGCAAUGGACGAAAGUCUGACGGAGCAACGCCGCGUGAGUGAAAGAAGGUUUUCGGAUCGUAAAACUCUGUUGUCAGAGAAGAACAAGUUGGAGAGUAACUGCUCCAGCCUUGACGGUAUCUGACCAGAAAGCCACGGCUAACUACGUGCCAGCCGCCGC
rnacentral:rRNA from 1 species